rnacentral:sRNA from 1 species
UGAGAACGUAGAAUGGAAUCCCUUUGACCAAGAUGCAGUAGGAAUGCUAUGUAUGCCCAAAGGGCUGGCAUUCAAGACCCAGGCUGAUCCCAGGGAGCCCCAGUUCCAUGCCUUUAUUAUCACAAGGGAGGAUGGCUCUCGGACAUUUGGGUUUGCCCUCACUUUUUAUGAAGAGGUGACUAGCAAGCAGAUCUGCAGUGCAAUGCAGACCCUCUACCACAUGCACAAUGCUGAGUAUGAUGUCCUACAUGCUCCCCCUGCUGAUGGCAGAGACCAGAGCAGCAUGGAGGAUGGUGAAGACACUCCUGUGACCAAACUGCAGCGCUUCAACUCCUAUGACAUUAGCCGGGACACUCUCUACGUCUCUAAGUGCAUCUGCCUCAUCACACCCAUGUCUUUCAUGAAGGCAUGUCGGAGCGUGCUGGAGCAACUCCACCAGGCAGUCACUUCACCUCAGCCCCCUCCACUGCCUCUUGAGAGCUACAUAUACAACGUACUGUACGAGGUGCCACUCCCACCUCCUGGCCGGUCGUUGAAGUUUUCUGGAGUCUAUGGGCCAAUAAUCUGCCAGAGACCAAGUACCAAUGAGCUUCCCCUAUUUGACUUUCCUGUCAAAGAGGUUUUUGAACUGCUCGGGGUGGAGAAUGUGUUUCAGCUUUUUACUUGUGCCCUUCUGGAGUUUCAAAUCCUGCUCUACUCACAGCGUAAGUCAGUGCUUACUAGAGCCUUCUGCCUGCCUCAGGCUUCCUUGCUUUCCAUGUUCAGAUACAGUGGGGCUGACUGUAAAGGUUAAGAGCUAUUACAGUUUGAGCAAAACCCAGAUCUUUUGCAG